AGUGAACGCUGGCGGUAGGCCUAACACAUGCAAGUCGAACGGCAGCACAGUAAGAGCUUGCUCUUACGGGUGGCGAGUGGCGGACGGGUGAGGAAUACAUCGGAAUCUACUUUUUCGUGGGGGAUAACGUAGGGAAACUUACGCUAAUACCGCAUACGCCCUACGGGUGAAAGCAGGGGAUCUUCGCACCUUGCGCGAUUGAAUGAGCCGAUGUCGGAUUAGCUAGUUGGCGGGGUAAAGGCCCACCAAGGCGACGAUCCGUAGCUGGUCUGAGAGGAUGAUCAGCCACACGGGAACUGAGACACGGUCCAGACUCCUACGGGAGGCAGCAGUGGGGAAUAGUGGACAAUGGGCGCAAGUCUGAUCCAGCCAUAGCGCGUGGGUGAAGAAGGCCUUCGGGUUGUAAAGCCCUUUUGUUGGGAAAGAAAAGCAGCAGGUUAAUACCCCGCUGUUCUGACGGUACCCAAAGAAUAAGCACCGGCUAACUUCGUG
rnacentral:rRNA from 1 species